rnacentral:rRNA from 1 species
UACGUAGGGCGCGAGCGUUGUCCGGAAUUAUUGGGCGUAAAGAGCUCGUAGGCGGCUUGUCGCGUCGGAUGUGAAAGCCCGGGGCUUAACCCCGGGUCUGCAUUCGAUACGGGCAGGCUAGAGUUCGGUAGGGGAGAUCGGAAUUCCAGGUGUAGCGGUGAAAUGCGUAGAUAUCUGGAGGAACACCGGUGGCGAAGGCGGCAUCCUGGACCAACACUGACACUGAGGAGCGAAAGCCAGGGGAGCAAACGGG